AUGAGGCACGGUGAAGACAUCAAGGACGAGUAUGAGCAGCCUGCGUUUGCCCUGGUGAACAAGGCCACCGGUGAAGCCAUCCAGCAUUCCCUGGAAAAGGGCCACCCUGUUCGCCUUGCGGCAUACGACCCGGACUGCCCGGACGAGUCGGUGAUGUGGACGGAGAGCGAGGACGUCGGCGACGACUUCCAUUGCAUCCGCAUGGCGAGCAACAUCCAGCUCAACUUCGACGCCGUCCAUGGCGGCGAGGACGAGAGCGUGGUGCAGGACGGCACCACCAUCAUCCUGUUUGACUGGGUCGAGGGAGACAACCAGCGCUGGAAGAUCGUUCCCUGGUAG
rnacentral:rRNA from 1 species